GAUGAACGCUGGCGGCGUGCCUAAUACAUGCGAGUCGAGCGAACAGACGAGGAGCUUGCUCCUUCGACGUUAGCGGCGGACGGGUGAGUAACACGUAGGUAACCUACCUAUAAGACUGGGAUAACUUCGGGAAACCGGAGCUAAUACCGGAUAAUAUUUCGAACCGCAUGGUUCGAUAGUGAAAGAUGGCUUUGCUAUCACUUAUAGAUGGACCUGCGCCGUAUUAGCUAGUUGGUAAGGUAACGGCUUACCAAGGCAACGAUACGUAGCCGACCUGAGAGGGUGAUCGGCCACACUGGAACUGAGACACGGUCCAGACUCCUACGGGAGGCAGCAGUAGGGAAUCUUCCGCAAUGGGCGAAAGCCUGACGGAGCAACGCCGCGUGAGUGAUGAAGGUCCUCGGAUCGUAAAACUCUGUUAUUAGGGAAGAACAAACGUGUAAGUAACUGUGCACGUCUUGACGGUACCUAAUCAGAAAGCCACGGCUAACUACGUG
rnacentral:rRNA from 1 species